UACGGAGGGAGCUAGCGUUAUUCGGAAUUACUGGGCGUAAAGCGUACGUAGGCGGCUUUGUAAGUAAGAGGUGAAAGCCCGGAGCUCAACUCCGGAACUGCCUUUUAGACUGCAUCGCUUGAAUCCAGGAGAGGUGAGUGGAAUUCCGAGUGUAGAGGUGAAAUUCGUAGAUAUUCGGAAGAACACCAGUGGCGAAGGCGGCUCACUGGACUGGUAUUGACGCUGAGGUACGAAAGCGUGGGGAGCAAACAGG
rnacentral:rRNA from 1 species